AUGAGCAAGUACAUUCUCAAGACCCUCUUCCUCUUCCACCUGGAGACCAACGGAGCCCAUUACCACACCCCGGAGAGACACGCUGGCAGACGCCACGCCCGGCACCUGGACCGCAACGAGCUCCUCGCCGACCUCCGCCACUGGACCUACGAUCAAAUCUCCCGCCGGGUCCUCCUCAUCCUCGACGAAAUGGUUGCUGCUCUCAGAACUCAAAGGUACCGUUCGUACUUCUUCAAGUACUUCAACGUGAUGAUGAACUGCCCGGGCGGCGGGACGCUGCACUACACAGACGAGGACUACGCUCAUGAGGCGGAUUUGCUGACGUCACACCUGCACCAGCUCCACCAGAUGUCCAGCCUCAACGUGACGUUCCCGAGUCUCAGCUUGCAUCUGCCGAGCGAGACUUGGUGGAAGAUUGAGCUCCAACUCAUCGCCAAGUGGCGCAACGUCCUUACCGAUCUCCUGCCCAGCAAGAAGCUGGUCGUCUGCAAUAAGAAGCGCCGCUUCUUGUCUCUCGGCCGUGAAUAUGACUACGACGAAAACAGCUACUCCAAUCGGCAACUGGAGUACAUAGGGCAAGUUCUCAGAGGACUCCUUCACGUCAAGUCUCUAAUUAUCCAUCAGAGUCACCAUACCUCGAUUUGGCUUCAGACGAGCUCCGGACAAGCUGAAACAAAAUUGGAGGCGAAUGAAGUCCCUGAUCCAGCGGUUGAUGACGUCAUCUACCUCAUUUCGAUUUUGAUGGAGCAAGCGUGGAAGAUGGCCGAGCAGCGAGUCUCCAACGAAACCAACUCACUCUGGCUCAGAACAAAGCGCGCCAUGAUCACGAGAAAAGCAAGGCUGGUUUCCAGACAGCGGUCGAGGAAUUUUUGAAAGAGGUUGGGAUUGGGCCGAUGGAAUGUUGAACUCUGCUCUAGAAAUUAAUGGAGGUACCGAGCUGGUGUUAACUCCAAGUUCAAGAACAACCAUUCGCCUACCGAUCAAUAUUAAUGCUGACGACUUACCUCUUAAAAAUCGGCGUCUGAGCAAAUCAAAUUCAUUACGGUCCGUUGGGAUGUCAACGCUGCCUCCAAGGCCCAAAGCGACAAAAGGUUUUCCCCCAUUUUGGUUUAUCACUAUUUAUUUAGCUUAUCAUCAUAUUGCAAAUGGACUGCAUUUUGAAUUAGGAACUACAAUUUUUGGCUCUCUCAAGAACAACGUAUGUACUAUUAGUUUUCCCACGUACAUGUGUGUUUUUACAAUUGAGCCAGAAGUUGUAGUUCCUUAUUGCAAAAUGUAGCCCAAUUGUUCUCUCAAAUGUAUUGUGUCUUGGUGGAUCCUGCCUCGUCCUCAAAGAAAUCGUCUUUCCCCUUCGAAUGGACGUAACUAUACCUUUCAAUGUUGCCAAUCCCCCCUUGAUAAUUUCAUUUUAUUAGGAGAAUCGCGCGAACUUCUAAAUGAAAAUUUCACUGAUUUUUCCUCUGAUCUCAUGCAAGAAUCAGACAAAUUUUGGACAAAAGUUGCGCAGGUACAUUCUUGUAAAAAAUAUUAAUUUUUUUAGUCAAUUUGGCGACCUUGGAAUGGAGUUGCGUUUACCGUCCGGGUCACGACGAAAUGACGGACAGGAAACGGACUUACACGAUCCGUUACGAGACUCGCGCUGUGAGCUACGUCAAACUGAGGUCACCGGUCAAAAACGCCUUCAGUUAUGCGUGAUACUUCACCGCUGACACUAGAGUUAAAAUACUUGUAUCAUAAAUUUCCGCGCAGAAUCCCCUGCUUUUCGAACGUUCAUGAAGUAUAUUGUCUCGCAUUUAGUCGGGAAAACUUUGUAAACAUUAUCAGUUUGUGAUAACUCCAAAAGUGUGACCACAGUGAAAAUGGUAUUAGAUUUGCACCGUUCCCUAGGGCUAAACUGUUGCUGUUAAUUCAGAUACAUAUCUCGUAAAAUUUUGCAUGAAUACACUAAACUGAAAAGUAGCGUUGAGCUUGAAAAACUUGUGCCUGAUCCGAUUACAUUGCUUGGAUUCUCAGUGAAAGAUCUGUAGAAUGUGUUGAUAUAUUGCCCGGAAAAAAUAGCUAGUGACCAAAAUUCUGAGCAUUGCAUCGGCGAAUCCAACCUACUGUGCGAAAACUCGUCCAGUUCGCCCGACAUUCCUCAGUAAUCAUUCGAGUUGUUCAUCAAUCAUGAUCGGGCGAAAAUUAGCGCUGACCUCCGAACUUAACUUUUGCCUUACCUACUUUUCACCUCACUUAAAUUGUUUCUGACUCCAUUGAACCGUUUAUUGUUAAAGGAGUUGAGGUGCUGUAACUUAAAAGCCUUUGAGGUCAAGGCGGGAAACGGUAACCGAGCUCAAGAGUUUCCGACGCGUGGACCCUUUCACAGAGCAACGGUUCAAUCGAGUUUUCUAUUCUCUCCGUAACAAGGCAUGAAGUGUGAAUUGGACGUAUUUCUGCCAAACGGAACCAUGUGCAUUAUAACGUGAGCCCUGUUAUGCAUACAUUCUUAUGGGUCUUAGGACUCAUAUCUUAAUGCACAUAGUUCCGUUUGGCAGAAAUACGUCCAAUUAUGUAGUGGCAUGAAUGACCAGACGUGGUGACGCCUCCCAUUCGAUCGGCUUUAACGUAUAAACGUAUACUCGAGUUUAUCGAUUGACGAAUAAUUAAUCUAUUACUCGAUUGAUCGAAUAUCUAUCGAGUGUAUUAAUCGAUCGAUUUUUUCAAUUUCGAUUACAUUUUUAAUAGAUUGUUUAGGGUCGUAUUUAUGGUGGUUCCUCAAACAGCUCCUCUCCUUCGGAAACUCCGUAUGGUUUCCAUUCAUUAGCGAAUCCAAUAAUUUGGCAACACCGGAUUUCCUCUAUUUAAACCUAUAGAGAUGUAUCGAUUCUUGAAGGGGCCAGGUGCUCCGACAAGAAUCGAUUAAUUAGCAUAUGUUUAAAUGGAGGAGUUGCCAAAUUGCUGGAUCCGUCAAUUAUGUUUCCAUUGUGAUGAAGGGAGGUUUGAGGAAGCUCUCAAAAUAGCAGUAUAAGAGCGACAACUGGAUGUAUUUCUGCCAAACGGAACUAUGUGCAUUAUAACGUGAGCCCUGUUAUGCAUGUAUUAUUAUGGGUCUCAGGGCUCAUGUCUCAAUGCACAUAGUUCCGUUUGGCAGAAAUACUUCCAACUGUUGCCAAUCUCGAGUAAAAUUCAGCAGAUGUAUAACUUUGGAAUUGAAUCCUUGCAAGGGAUGACCAUGAUUUGCCACUGUAAGAAGUAAAGAGUGUUAAUUUAUCAACUAAUCGAAAACUCUAGAUUGUGUAUCAUUUCCAGACACUUUGAGAGGACACCUUUACCGAGAAUGCCUGAUGGAGCAGCUUCUGAUCACAUCGCCGGAUCACUGUCGGCUCAGGGACUCGAGCCCGUUGACACAGGCGCUGGAAAAAAGCCGCCGCUACGGCUCUCAUCGAGGUCUCGGCAGCAUUGUCAAUGCACUCAUCACGCUCAAUAAGUUCACG
rnacentral:lncRNA from 1 species